rnacentral:ncRNA from 1 species
AAUCAUUUGUUUUUUGGAUACCAACUCCACAUUAUCAUAUAAACUUCUAAUCAAUAUUUUAAUUACUUGAUUAUAUAUAGUGACAGAAGGAAUCUUGCCAAUCUUUUGAAGAUGCAGUGAGGAUAAUUAUCCAUGUAGUAAAGUUGUGCCAGCACUAGCGGUUAAACAACUCUUGUAUGGAGUGUGAGUAAUUCAUUCUUUUAGGUAAAAGAAAUAAUAGUUUUUAUUAGUGAAAUAAUAAAAAGUUAUAAUUAUUUAAUAUUCUAAUAAUAGAAGGAUAGAAAAUAAACCAGGAUUAGAUACCCUGCUAUACUAAUCUCGAACUAAGAAGGUGAUUUUAACAACAAACAUGGCGGUCCUUAACCUAAUUAGAGGGGUAUGUUAUGAAAAUGAAUUUGCACAAUUAAUUAUUCUAUCUUUUGUAAUUCCAUUCUUCCUAUCGCUGUCUGAAAAACUCUUUAUAAGAAGAGUUUAGCUUCUAACUUAAGUAAUAAGACAAGUAAACGUGAAGACAAUAGGAUAGAAAUAAUGUACUCCAUUGAUAAUUUUACAUUCUAGAGUUGAAUAAUUCUAACUAAAUUUGAAUAGAAGAAUUUAACAGUAAAUUUGAUUAAUUAUAUCAAGUUGAACUAGUAAUUAGGGACGUACAAAUUGCCCGUCACUCCAAAGUGGAGAAGUCGUAACACAGUUGGUUUACUGGAAGGUGAA